UGCAGUCGAGCGGAUGAAGGGAGCUUGCUCCUGGAUUCAGCGGCGGACGGGUGAGUAAUGCCUAGGAAUCUGCCUGGUAGUGGGGGAUAACGUCCGGAAACGGGCGCUAAUACCGCAUACGUCCUGAGGGAGAAAGUGGGGGAUCUUCGGACCUCACGCUAUCAGAUGAGCCUAGGUCGGAUUAGCUAGUUGGUGGGGUAAAGGCCUACCAAGGCGACGAUCCGUAACUGGUCUGAGAGGAUGAUCAGUCACACUGGAACUGAGACACGGUCCAGACUCCUACGGGAGGCAGCAGUGGGGAAUAUUGGACAAUGGGCGAAAGCCUGAUCCAGCCAUGCCGCGUGUGUGAAGAAGGUCUUCGGAUUGUAAAGCACUUUAAGUUGGGAGGAAGGGCAGUAAGUUAAUACCUUGCUGUUUUGACGUUACCAACAGAAUAAGCACCGGCUAACUUCGUGCCAGCAGCCGCGGUAAUACGAAGGGUGCAAGCGUUAAUCGGAAUUACUGGGCGUAAAGCGCGCGUAGGUGGUUCAGCAAGUUGGAUGUGAAAUCCCCGGGCUCAACCUGGGAACUGCAUCCAAAACUACUGAGCUAGAGUACGGUAGAGGGUGGUGGAAUUUCCUGUGUAGCGGUGAAAUGCGUAGAUAUAGGAAGGAACACCAGUGGCGAAGGCGACCACCUGGACUGAUACUGACACUGAGGUGCGAAAGCGUGGGGAGCAAACAGGAUUAGAUACCCUGGUAGUCCACGCCGUAAACGAUGUCGACUAGCCGUUGGGAUCCUUGAGAUCUUAGUGGCGCAGCUAACGCGAUAAGUCGACCGCCUGGGGAGUACGGCCGCAAGGUUAAAACUCAAAUGAAUUGACUGGGGCCCGCACAAGCGGUGGAGCAUGUGGUUAAUUCCAAGCAACGCGAAGAACCUUACCUGGCCUUGACAUGCUGAGAACUUCC
rnacentral:rRNA from 1 species